GUGAGCGGGAAAACGCGGCGCGGAGCCGGGAACUGCGCCCCCGCCCCCUCCCGCAGGGGAAGCGGCGCCGAGGGGCGGUUGCUGCCUCCCCCUUCGCAGGCGGACGGGAGCGAGGGCAGCCGCAAAAGGCGAAGUUUGGGGAAAACUUUUCCCCCGCCUCGAGAUAAGUCCUGAUGCAUGCUGGAAGAAGUGUGUGCUUCAGCACUGAUUAAAGUAAUGUAGGAGUUAAUGAGAAGCUUGCAGAGUAUGUGAAGCAAGAGAAAAUCUUUAACCAGCUCUGCUGUUCCCUCUACAUAGCACAAACUUGAGGCAAGCUGUGUUAUCUUCAUGUGACCAUGGUUUCUCACCCAUAUGCUUUCCUGGUCGUUUUCAUUUUCACACCUGCCUUGAGCUUUGAUCACUCAAAAUAUUCAUAGACUUGCCCUGGAAAAAUAAGAGACUGACCUUUUCCCAUCUGGAGUAGAUGGAUUUACUAUCAAUAAUUGUA
rnacentral:lncRNA from 1 species